GGCCUUUUGAUUUAUGUGUAAUAUAAAAGGUUGGACCUGCCCAGUGGUUUAUCUAAAUGGCUGCAGUGAAUAACUGUACAAAGGUAGCGAAAUCAGUUGUCCUUUAAAUGGGGGAAGGUAUGAAAGGUUUGACGGUAAAGAAGCUGUCUCUUAAAAAUAGUGUGAAGUUUCCAUCUAAGUGAAAAGGCUUAGAUUUUUUAAAAAGACGAGAAGACCCUAUUGAGCUUAAUUAUAUUUUUUUUAUUAAGAAAGUUGAAGUUUUAUUGGGGCAAUAGGAAGCUAUAAGUAAUGCUUCUUUUUAAGGUAAGGAUCCUCCAUGGGAGAAGUAAGCAAAAGUUACCAUAGGGAUAACAGCGUUAUCUUUCUUAAGAGUUCUAAUUGAGGGAAAGGUUUGCGACCUCGAUGUUGGAUUAAGAUGUCUUUUUGGUGCAGCAGCUAAAAAAGUAAGACUGUUCGUCUUUUAAAAUUUU
rnacentral:rRNA from 1 species